rnacentral:misc_RNA from 1 species
GAUGAAGAACGUAGCGAAAUGCGAUAAGUAAUGUGAAUUGCAGAAUUCAGUGAAUCAUCGAAUCUUUGAACGCACAUUGCGCCCGCCAGUAUUCUGGCGGGCAUGCCUGUUCGAGCGUCAUUUCAACCCUCAAGACCCCUUCGGGGGACUUGGUGUUGGGGACCGGCGCAGGGGCCUGCCUGCUUGUCUUGCAGCGCCCUCGCCGCCCCCGAAAUGAAUUGGCGGCCUCGUCGCGGCCUCCCCUGCGUAGUAGCACAAACCUCGCAACGGGAACGUGACGGCGGCCACUGCCGUAAAACAACCCAAUUUUAUUAGAGUUGACCUCGAAUCAGGUAGGAAUACCCGCUGAACUUAAGCAUAUCAAUAAGCGGAGGA